rnacentral:tRNA from 1 species
GGAUCGUUAGCUCAACUGGCGGAGCAUCCGGCUCUUAACCGGCAGGUUGAAGGUUCGACUCCUUCACGGUCCACCA